rnacentral:rRNA from 1 species
GAUGAACGCUGGCGGCGUGCCUAAUACAUGCAAGUCGAGCGAACAGACGAGGAGCUUGCUCCUUUGACGUUAGCGGCGGACGGGUGAGUAACACGUGGGUAACCUACCUAUAAGACUGGGAUAACUUUGGGAAACCGGAGCUAAUACCGGAUAAUAUUUCGAACCGCAUGGUUCGAUAGUGAAAGAUGGCUUUGCUAUCACUUAUAGAUGGACCUGCGCCGUAUUAGCUAGUUGGUAAGGUAACGGCUUACCAAGGCAACGAUACGUAGCCGACCUGAGAGGGUGAUCGGCCACACUGGAACUGAGACACGGUCCAGACUCCUACGGGAGGCAGCAGUAGGGAAUCUUCCGCAAUGGGCGAAAGCCUGACGGAGCAACGCCGCGUGAGUGAUGAAGGUCUUCGGAUCGUAAAACUCUGUUAUUAGGGAAGAAUAAACGUGUAAGUAACUGUGCACGUCUUGACGGUACCUAAUCAGAAAGCCACGGCUAACUACGUG